rnacentral:tRNA from 1 species
GGGCCGGUAGCUCAGCCUGGAUCCCCGAAGAGGGCGAUAGAGCACUGCACUUUUAAUGCAGUGGUCGCGAGUUCGAAUCUCGUCCGGCCCA